UACAGAGGGUGCGAGCGUUGUCCGGAAUCACUGGGCGUAAAGAGCUCGUAGGCGGUCUGUCGCGUCGGAUGUGAAAAUCAGGGCUCAACCCUGGACCUGCAUUCGAUACGGGCAGACUAGAGUUCGGCAGGGGAGACUGGAAUUCCUGGUGUAGCGGUGAAAUGCGCAGAUAUCAGGAGGAACACCGGUGGCGAAGGCGGGUCUCUGGGCCGAUACUGACGCUGAGGAGCGAAAGCGUGGGGAGCAAACAGG
rnacentral:rRNA from 1 species